rnacentral:rRNA from 1 species
AAACCAACAGGGAUUGCCUCAGUAACGGCGAGUGAAGCGGCAAAAGCUCAACUUUGGAAUCGCUCCGGCGAGUUGUAGUCUGAAGAGAGACACUACGGGGGGAGAUUUACGGCCAAGUCCUUUGGAACAAGGCGCCAGUGAGGGUGACAGCCCCGUGGCCGGACAAUCUCCUUCUCUGUGUUUUUUCAACGAGUCGAGUUGUUUGGGAAUGCAGCUCUAAGUGGGUGGUAAAUUCCAUCUAAAGCUAAAUACCGGCGAGAGACCGAUAGCGAACAAGUACAGUGAUGGAAAGAUGAAAAGCACUUUGAAAAGAGAGUGAAACAGUACGUGAAAUUGUUGAAAGGGAAGGGCUUGCACCCAGACACGGCCUCGGCCGGGCCAGCAUCUGGUGGUAAGGAGUGAAAAUGGGCGACCAAUGUAGCAACGCCUUCGGGCGCUGUAUUAUAGGGUCGUCUGACGGCUCCCCUACCGCCAGAGGACUGCAAUCUACGGAUGCUGGCGCAAUGGUUGCAAGCCAC